GAUUGUUAAGAUUACGGUUUUAACAACACGACUUGAAGAAGUUCAAGCGAGCCCGGUUCUUUCAGCACUGCUGUAAACACAUAAACAAUG
rnacentral:sRNA from 12 species